UGCAAUUCUGCCCUGGAUCUGAAAUGGGCACCAGGCUCUUCUGUUGUGUGGCUCUUUGUUUCCUGUGGACAGGACAGGUAGACGCUGGUGCUGGAAUCACUCAGAGCCCACAUAAGAUCACUUCGACAGGGAAGAGGGUGACUCUAACAUGUCACCAGACUCAGAAGCAUGACUACAUGUACUGGUAUCGACAAGACCUGGGACAUGGGCUGAAGCUGAUCCAUUAUUCAUACGAUAUUCUCAAAACUGAAGAAGGAGAAGUCCCUGAUGGGUACAAUGUCUCUAGAUCAAAUAUAGAGGAUUUCCCCCUCACACUGGAGUCCGCUACUCCCUCCCAGACAUCUGUGUACUUCUGUGCCAGCAGUUACUCCACAGUGCUGCACAGCUGCCUCCUCUCUGCACAUAAAAUGUACUUAGAAAGACUGGGGGUGCCCUGUGCUCAUGAGGCCUGA